UCCUACGGGGCGCAGCAGUGGGGAAUAUUGCACAAUGGGGGAAACCCUGAUGCAGCGAUGCCGCGUGGAGGAAGAAGGUUUUCGGAUUGUAAACUCCUUUUAUCAGGGACGAUAAUGACGGUACCUGAAGAAAAAGCUCCGGCUAACUACGUGCCAGCAGCCGCGGUAAUACGUAGGGGGCAAGCGUUAUCCGGAUUUACUGGGUGUAAAGGGAGCGUAGACGGUUACGCAAGUCUGGAGUGAAAGGCGGGGGCCCAACCCCCGGACUGCUUUGGAAACUGUAUAACUGGAGUGCAGGAGAGGUA
rnacentral:rRNA from 1 species